UCCUCCCGCACUGCCCAUGCCCUGCGCCCCGGCCCGCAGGAACCCGAAGCCCGGCACUGUUCUGAUGGCGGCCGCCGGCCCGGCCCUCCAUAGGCUUCCCGCGAGGGCUCCCGCGCCACCGGGCCGGGCCCGCGGGGCUGCACAGCGCUGGGCGGAGCGAAUCCUGCAGGAAGCUGCCUCCGACCCGAGGUGAGGAGGGACCGAGCCCCGGGGACCUCAGGCACUUGCUGAGGCCACGGCUGGGCCCCUCUCGCAGUGCUCAGUACAGGCUGGGGGAGCCGGGGGCCCCGCUGGGAGCCUGCUGUGUCCGACACAGAGCCGGUGCUGCUGGUUAGGGUGUGCCAGGGGUAGACGACCGGGCCCUGGCUGGUGGGGUGGCUGGGGCCUUUGGCUGGUGCUGCUGGAACACGGUCCGUGGGGGUGGGAGUCUGCUCCCGAGGGGGCGACGCGUCAGUGUUUCCCAGUACUCGGUGGGUUGUGGAGCCUGGGAAGCCACUGCCUGUCCGAGCAGAGAAGAUGGAGACUUGGCUGCUGGCCUGGGAGCUUCCCACGACAUCCUGCCUGCCAAGGUCCCUGAGGGCUUGACCAGUGCUUGAAUCUGCAGAGCCCUGCUGGACAUGGUACUUGGAGCAGAGCAACACAAGGAUUGAAGCUGUUCCCCAGCACAUCAGCCUGCAUUUGUCAUUGCUGAACUCCAGCUGCUGCUCUCUACACAUCCAUUGAACCAGCAGAGAGUGAAGGAGCUCUAUGGGACAAACCUCCACGUUACAAACUUCUUUACCAGGAUCUAGGACAAGCCUCAAGUUUACCUCCAUGUUAUACCAGAACCCCUUUAUGCCCCAGUUCUCCAUUUCCUCUCUUUGGUGUGAACUCAAAAGCCAGUGUGAUCUCUUCUUUUAUAGCAAAACAAAAAAAGUUCCAUAAAGCUCUUAGCAAAAGAUUGUUUUGUUCUACACCAUCCUGGUGAAUCACCUCACUUGGUUCUCCUUUAUUACCCUCCUGUCAUGGUCAAACAAUGCUAGUAAAAUAAAGACGUUUUUAA